rnacentral:rRNA from 1 species
ACGGAAGGCAGCAGUAGGGAAUUUUCGGCAAUGGGGGGAACCCUGACCGAGCAAUGCCGCGUGAAUAAAGAAGGUCUUCGGAUCGUAAAGUUCUUUUAUGUGGGAAGAAUGGCGCGAAAGCGAGAUGACGGUACCACAUGAAUAAGCUCCGGCCAACCAUGUGCCAGCAGCCGCGGUAAUACAUGGGGAGCGAGCGUUAUCCGGAUUUAUUGGGCGUAAAGCGUGUGUAGGCGGUCUGUUAAGUCAGGUGUAAAAGGCAGUAGCUCAACUACUGUACGCACCUGAAACUGGCAGACUUGAGUAUGGUAGGGGCAAGUGGAACUUCUAGUGUAGCGGUAAAAUGCGUAGAUAUUAGAAAGAACACCAGUGGCGAAGGCGACUUGCUGGGCCAGAACUGACGCUGAGACACGAAAGCGUGGGGAGCAAACAGGAUUAGAUACCCUGGUA